CAGCCGCCGCGGUAAUACGGAGGGUGCAAGCGUUAAUCGGAAUUACUGGGCGUAAAGCGCACGCAGGCGGUUUGUUAAGUCAGAUGUGAAAUCCCCGAGCUUAACUUGGGAACUGCAUUUGAAACUGGCAAGCUAGAGUCUUGUAGAGGGGGGUAGAAUUCCAGGUGUAGCGGUGAAAUGCGUAGAGAUCUGGAGGAAUACCGGUGGCGAAGGCGGCCCCCUGGACAAAGACUGACGCUCAGGUGCGAAAGCGUGGGGAGCAAACUGGAUUAGAUACCCCUGUAGUCCCUGUCUCUUAUAC
rnacentral:rRNA from 1 species